UGUGCGCUGUUCUCGCGUGAUGAUCAUGUAUACUGCGUUAUCGUCUUGACGGCUGUUUAACUACAGCACUCGGAAAACAACUAUAACACCUAGCUGAGCGAGAGCGGCGCGCG